GGCAAAAAAUAAUAAAGAAAUAUUUAAGUUUUUCAUUUAACUUUGCUUUCAAUAGAAAUACCUACAUAUGUACAGUAGCGGACAAAGAAAUCCGGACAACCGGAGAGCUUGUAUUUAAAACACAAUUGUAACCUACAAAUAUAAUUUUCUGCGGAAAGGUUUAUUCUUUCGCAUAAAUUAGUGCUCUGUACACGUUUUAUGACUUUUAGUUUUUUCAAUAGCUUCAAAGAUUGUUUUGUGCUCGUGCUUAGUUAAAGCUUAAAUAUGCCAAAUUAAUGUUUUGCUUUUGCGAAAAGAAAAUCUGACCAUUCGGGUAAUUAGUGAUAGAGUUGGCUUCAGCAAGUCUUCCAUUGGAGAAUUUCUAAAAAAUUUCGAUAAAACCAGGUCUCUUAAGAGAAAAACUGGCUCUGGAGCAAAGAAGAAGUCAAUAGAACGUAUUAGCUUGAGGGAUCGCUUCAAAACUGCUGAGGACAUUAAAGUGGAGUUAUUUGAAGUUGUCGGUUCGGAAGUUAGUGCAAGAACUGUUCUUYGAAGGCUUCGAGAUGUUGGUUUGAAUGCUCGUCGAGCCGCUAAAAAACCACUCUUAACCCCAGAAAUGCGUCAAAACCGUUUACGAUGGGCAAGAGAACAUCAAAAUUGGACUCAACUUGAUUGACGAAAUGUAGUCUUCUCAGACGAGUCUAAAUUUAACCUUUUUUCCGCGACGGUAUGUCCUACGUGAGAAGGAGAACUAGUGAGCGGUUCAAGGACGAAUGUGUUCAAAAGCAGGGAAGCAGCCGAGUGGUCGGGUUUCUUUUUCUACUAUGACCUUGGACAACUACCCCUAAUAGAAGGAACAAUCAAUGGGAAUAAGUAUCAGGAGAUACUUCAAACAAAUUUAAUACUCUCAAUGGAAAACCAGGAUGACUGCGACCUGCCACCGUGCCAAAAUAGUUUUUUAUAAUUUAUUUAUAAAAAAUUGCGGUCUCGACUUUGGAGUGGCCAGGAAAUAAUCCGGAACUCAAUCCCAUUGAAAACCUUUGGUUUAGAAUGAAGGCUUAGGUAGCACAGAAGAGGCCAAAGAAUUUAACAGACUUAGAAGGAAUUGGGGCAGUAACAAUAAAAAUSUUCAUAAAUUCAAUGCCGGAGUGUAUAAAAGACAUUAUAAUUAGCAAAGGAGGUUUGACAAAAUACUAAAACGAGUGUAUUUGUAUAGAUGAAUAUUUCCUUUAAGUAAAACUAUAAAAGCAUUUCUCUAAUGUAAACAAAAAAAAAAAAAAGAGAUCGCUGUUUACAUUACUAGUUACCAAAAUGAUACAAUAUCUAAAAUGAAUUAAAACAAAAUGUUAUAAGUGCAA